rnacentral:rRNA from 1 species
UUGCUCCUUUGACGUUAGCGGCGGACGGGWGAGUAACACGUGGWUAACCUACCUAUAAGACUGGGAUAACUUCGGGAAACCGGAGCUAAUACCGGAUAACAUAUUGAACCGCAUGGUUCAAUAGUGAAAGGCGGCUUUGCUGUCACUUAUAGAUGGAUCCGCGCCGUAUUAGCUAGUUGGUAAGGUAACGGCUUACCAAGGCAACGAUACGUAGCCGACCUGAGAGGGUGAUCGGCCACACUGGAACUGAGACACGGUCCAGACUCCUACGGGAGGCAGCAGUAGGGAAUCUUCCGCAAUGGGCGAAAGCCUGACGGAGCAACGCCGCGUGAGUG